UACGUAGGGGCAAGCGUUAUCCGGAUUUACUGGGUGUAAAGGGAGCGCAGACGGAACUGCAAGUCUGAUGUGAAAGCCCGGGGCUCAACCGCGGGACUGCAUCGGAUACUGUGGAUCUGGAGUGCCGGAGGGGCAAGCGGAAUUCCUGGUGUAGCGGUGAAAUGCGUAGAUAUCAGGAGGAACAUCCGUGGCGAAGGCGGCCACCUGGACCAGUACUGACACUGAGGCACGAAAGCGUGGGGAGCAAACAGGAUUAGAUA
rnacentral:rRNA from 1 species